GCGCCGGUAGUUCAUCGGUAGAAUGUGAGCUUCCCAAGCUUGAGAGGCGGGUUCGAUUCCCGCUCGGCGCACCA
rnacentral:tRNA from 1 species